rnacentral:rRNA from 1 species
UACGGGGGGGGCAAGCGUUGUUCGGAAUUACUGGGCGUAAAGCGUGCGCAGACGGUUGCGUAAGUCAGAUGUGAAAGCCCCGGGCUCAACCUGGGAAUUGCAUUUGAGACUGCGUAGCUAGGGUGCGGAAGAGGGAAGCGGAAUUUCCGGUGUAGCGGUGAAAUGCGUAGAUAUCGGAAGGAACACCAGUGGCGAAAGCGGCUUCCUGGUCCAGCACCGACGUUCAGGCACGAAAGCGUGGGGAGCAAACAGG